rnacentral:tRNA from 1 species
AGGGAGUUAGUCCAAAACAAGACCUCUGAUUUCGGCUCAGAAAAUUAUGGUUAAAAUCCAUAACCCCCUU